GUUAGUGCUCAAUUAACACAUACACUAAUAGGAACUAUACAGGGAUUAGCCUGGGCCCUGGUCAAGGAUGACACACACGUUUGUGAAACAUUACAUGUUUUG